rnacentral:rRNA from 1 species
UACGUAGGGGGCUAGCGUUGUCCGGAAUCAUUGGGCGUAAGGCGCGUGUAGGCGGUCCGGUAAGUCCGCUGUGAAAGUCGGGGGGCUCAACCCUCGGAUGCCGGUGGAUACUGUCGGGCUUGAGUACGGAAGAGGCGAGUGGAAUUCCCGGUGUAGUGGUGAAAUCGCGUAGAUAUCGGGAAGGAACACCAGUGGCGAAGGCGGACUUUCUCGGCCUGUUCUUGACUGCG